AGUUAAGUGAAAUUUCAAAACGCAAGGGGCGCAAACUUUCUUUUUUCCCCCCUUUAUCCCCAAACAGUACUACGUGAAAAAGGGUAAAGAAUUCUUCUAUUUCCUUCCCUAUCCCUAAAUAGUGCUCCGUCAAUAUGGGCAAAGAAAUAUGUUUUUUCCCUUUCUAUCGCAGCCAACCCUAUCUCCAAUCUCCUUCGAUCCAAUCCCAAGUCCCAACCCAACUCUCCUGAGGCGCUGUGCCGGAUCGUGGGAAGGGAGUUAGAGAGGGCCCUGCUCAAGCUAUGGGUCUAUUUUGGGGCAGUGUUGUGAGUUCUUGGUGAGGUACAUGAAGCUCCCUGUGGCGGUGUCGUUGGAGCUCGAUAGAAGGAAGUACUAUAUGCCGAUGGCGACGACGGAGGCAGUCCCUCGUGGCGAACACCAACAGUGAUUGCAAGGCCAUCGCCGAGUCGGGAUGAGAUGACGUUGGCGCCCGUCGUGUGCUUAAUCACAACUUGCAGAGUCAGAGCCGCGGAGCUCAAGGCCUUCAUGGAGAACCCCACAAGUUUCAAAAUGCUUACUGUGGUCUUCAAUAGUAGCAGGCAACGUCAUCGACUGUCGUUGCGGCUACAACUGCGGCUCCCAAUUUUGCCUCCGCCCCGUGACUGUGUCAAUAAUUUUGGAAAUCAGGGGGUUAUGAAUUGUUAGGGCGUGUGCAGAGUUGACGAUUUAGCAAGUGCUAAGAAGGUGUUGGAUGAAAUGCAUGUGAAAAAUGUGGUUUCUUA